rnacentral:lncRNA from 1 species
UGAAAAGAAUGAAUGAUGAUGGGAAGGAUUUGAGCAUCAAGUCCCAUGGAAAAUUGCAGACGGAAACUAAGAUUUGUAUCACGGGGAAGAAAAGAUCAAGAUGAGUCUGAUAACUGAAGGCCCAGGAAGUGGCUGCCUUCUUGGUAUGUCCACAUAUGGCAGAAUAACAGAGAGAAGAGAAGAGAAAGAGAAGAGAAAAGAAGACAAGAGAAGAGAAGAAAGAGAAGAGAAAAGAAGACAAGAGAGGAGAAGAGAGGAGAGGAGAAGAGGGG